GUGGAUAUAUCUUAGUGGUAGAGCAUUUGCCUAGUAUGCAGAGGCACUGGAUUCAAUCUCCAUCACCACA
rnacentral:tRNA from 1 species